rnacentral:rRNA from 1 species
CAUGCAAGUCGAGCGAUGAGGUCUCCUUCGGGGGGCACAUCAGCGGCAGACGGGUGAGUAACACGUAGGUAACCUACCCCAGAGACAGGGAUAACCCUAGGAAACGAGGGCUAAUACCGGAUGACCUCCGGAAGGAGGAAAGGCUCAGGCGCUCUGGGAGGGGCUUGCGGCCCAUCAGCUAGUUGGUAGGGUAAAGGCCUACCAAGGCGAAGACGGGUAGGGGGUGUGAGAGCACGGCCCCCCACAAUGGGACUGAAACACGGCCCAUACUCCUACGGGAGGCAGCAGCAGGGAAUAUUGCACAAUAGGCGAAAGCCUGAUGCAGCGACGCCGCGUGAGUGAAGAAGGCCUUCGGGUCGUAAAGCUCUUUUGUAGGGGAAGAGGAAGGACGGUACCCUAAGAAGAAGCGUCGGCUAACUACGUGCCAGCAGCCGCGGUAAGACGUAGGACGCGAGCGUUAUCCGGAAUUACUGGGCGUAAAGGGCCAGCAGGCGGCUUGGUAAGUUGUGCGUGAAAGCCUCGUGCUCAACGCGAGGAAGCCGGACAAUACUGUCAAGCUAGAGGGCAUCAGAGGGGAGUGGAAUUCCCGGAGUAGCGGUAAAAUGCGCAGAUAUCGGGAGGAACACCGAUGGCGAAGGCAGCUCCCUGGGAUGCACCUGACGCUAAGAGGCGAAAGCUAGGGGAGCGAACAGGAUUAGAGACCCUGGUAGUCCUAGCUGUAAACGCUGGGUGCUAGGUGUGGGACGUAGAAGUUCCGUGCCGGAGCAAACACGAUAAGCACCCCGCCUGGGAAUUACGGUCGCAAGGCUAAAACUCAAACGAAUUGACGGGGCCCCGCACAAGCAGCGGAGCGUGUGGUUCAAUUCGAUGCUACACGAAGAACCUUACCUGGGUUUGACAUGUACGUGGUACGAAGGCGAAAGCCUAAGGACCCUUCGGGGAGCGUACACAGGUGCUGCAUGGCUGUUGUCAGCUUGUGCCGUGAGGUGUCGGGUUAAGUCCCGUUACGAGCGCAACCCUUGCCCUUAGUUACAAGUGUCUAAGGGGAC